rnacentral:rRNA from 1 species
GGGUUGUGAGGUUAAGCGACUAAGCGUACACGGUGGAUGCCCUGGCAGUCAGAGGCGAUGAAGGACGUGCUAAUCUGCGAUAAGCGUCGGUAAGGUGAUAUGAACCGUUAUAACCGGCGAUUUCCGAAUGGGGAAACCCAGUGUGAUUCGUCACACUAUCAUUAACUGAAUCCAUAGGUUAAUGAGGCGAACCGGGGGAACUGAAACAUCUAAGUACCCCGAGGAAAAGAAAUCAACCGAGAUUCCCCCAGUAGCGGCGAGCGAACGGGGAGGAGCCCAGAGCCUGAAUCAGUGUGUGUGUUAGUGGAAGCGUUUGGAAAGGCGCGCGAUACAGGGUGACAGCCCCGUACACAAAAA